UACUUAAUAGAUUAGUCCUUAAAAUUUAAUUUCGACGGUAGAUAUGAGAUAUUUUCUUAUUUAAUAGUGUAAAACUAUUCAAAUUAAUUAAAUUUUUGUUAAAAAUUUUUUAAAACUAUUUAUAUAUCUAUACUCUCGAUCUUGAUUAUAAAAAUUCUAUCAUUAUUUUUUAAAGGAUAUUCAUUUUCAUCCGUUUAUUUUUACGCUCACUUGAUGGAUAAGAGAACAAUAUCAAAAAAUUAUGAAAUUUGAUUUCUAGAUGCUUCAAGUGGUGUAGAUCAUUUUUAACGGUGCUGAUUGUUGAAAACAAAUGGAUGGCAAUGGAGUUCGUUUGCUACCGAUUGUAUUCCAGCUCAAUUCGUAAGAUUAUCUCUAAUAUAUAUAUAUAUAUAUAUAUAUAUAUAUAUAUAUAUAUAUAUAUAUAUAUAUUUAUUUAUUUAUUUAUUUAUUUAAAAAUUUUUUAAUCAUGUAAGCUUAGUUUUUGUUUAAAAUUAUUCUUUUCAACUAUUAUAGUUGAAUCUCCUUAUACAGUUUUAAUUGCGGC
rnacentral:lncRNA from 1 species